UACGUAGGGGGCGAGCGUUAAUCGGAAUUACUGGGCGUAAAGCGCGCGUAGGCGGCUUUGCAAGUCGGGUGUGAAAUCCCCGGGCUUAACCUGGGAACUGCAUUUGUGACUGCAUAGCUAGAGUACGGCAGAGGGGGAUGGAAUUCCGCGUGUAGCAGUGAAAUGCGUAGAUAUGCGGAGGAACACCGAUGGCGAAGGCAAUCCCCUGGGCCUGUACUGACGCUCAUGCACGAAAGCGUGGGGAGCAAACAGG
rnacentral:rRNA from 1 species